AGCAGUAAAAGCAUGCUGAUAAUCUAUUUUUUCGUUCAGUUGUUCAGUUUUUUUGGAUAACUCAUUCGUUAAAACAAACAAUUUUGCAGAUAAACAUGCGGUAAAUUUUUAAAGUAACCGCGACUUUCGACAAUAGAAGUUUUGCAGAAAAAACUUGCAAAUGAAGAUAACGUACGACUUCUCUAAGAAAAUCUCUUGAAAUUUUCAACUGAAGCGGAGACUUCAAUUCGAAACUCGGUAACGCCGGGCGAGUUGUAAUUGGAGGAUUUUAGAGUCACGCGAAAGCAAAAAAUUGGAGGCCUUAAAGCCAAAAUGACCAAAAACAUCGGACAAAUCUGUUGUUUACUCUCAUUGCUGCUGAUUCAAGUAACCCCUACCCAAUCGUCAUUGAAUCAAAAUACCACAGAGUCACCCUUUUAUCCAACUAGUAAGCUUUUAAGAUAAUUUUAAGUCUCGGGUCAAUUUGAAAACUUCAGUUUUUGCUGAUACUAAC